CCCGACUGCUAUCGGAUUGAGAUUUAGCCAUGCGAGUCGAACGUCCCCCUGUUGCGGGGGGCGUGGCGUACGGCUCAGUAACACGUAGUCAACCUGCCCUGGAGACAAGGACAACCCCGGGAAACUGGGAUUAAUCCUUGAUAGGUCAUCUCAUCUGGAAGGAGAGAUGGCUUAAAGGGGUACGCGGGCUUCUUCCGCGAAUCUGCUCCAGGAUGGGACUGCGUCCGAUCAGGCUGUUGGCGGGGUAAUGGCCCACCAAACCUGUAACCGGUACGGGCCUUGAGAGAGGUGGCCCGGAGAUGGACACUGAGAGAAGGGUCCAGGUCCUACGGGGCGCAGCAGGCGCGAAACCUUCGCAAUGCGCGAAAGCGUGACGAGGUUAAUCCGAGUGACUCCCGCUGAGGGGGUCUUUUGUCAGCUGUAAAUAGGCAGGCGAAUAAGGGGAGGGCAAGCCUGGUGUCAGCCGCCGCGGUAAUACCAGCUCCUCGAGUGGUCGGGGCGAUUAUUGGGCCUAAAGCAUCCGUAGCCGGUUCCGUAGGUCCUCUGUUAAAUCCAACGGCUUAACCGUUGGCCCGCAGGAGAUACCGCGGGACUAGGAGGCGGGAGAGGUGGACGGUACUCCACGUGUAGGGGUAAAAUCCUUUGAUCCGCGGAAGACCACCAGUGGCGAAGGCGGUCCGCCAGAACGCGCUCGACGGUGAGGGAUGAAAGCUGGGGGAGCGAACCGGAUUAGAUACCCGGGUAGUCCCAGCCGUAAACGAUGCUAGCUAGAUGAUUCAUUCGCAAGUCGCGAAUGAAGUGUCGCAGGGAAGCCGUUAAGCUAGCCGCCUGGGGAGUACGGUCGCAAGACU
rnacentral:rRNA from 1 species